rnacentral:rRNA from 1 species
GACGAACGCUGGCGGCGUGCUUAACACAUGCAAGUCGAACGGAAAGGCCCUGCUUUUGUGGGGUGCUCGAGUGGCGAACGGGUGAGUAACACGUGAGUAACCUGCCCUUGACUUUGGGAUAACUUCAGGAAACUGGGGCUAAUACCGGAUAGGAGCUCCUGCUGCAUGGUGGGGGUUGGAAAGUUUCGGCGGUUGGGGAUGGACUCGCGGCUUAUCAGCUUGUUGGUGGGGUAGUGGCUUACCAAGGCUUUGACGGGUAGCCGGCCUGCGAGGGUGACCGGCCACAUUGGGACUGAGAUACGGCCCAGACUCCUGCGGGAGGCAGCAGUGGGGAAUAUUGCACAAUGGGCGGAAGCCUGCUGCAGCAACGCCGCGUGCGGGAUGACGGCCUUCGGGUUGUAAACCGCUUUCGCCUGUGACGAAGCGUGAGUGACGGUAAUGGGUAAAGAAGCACCGGCUAACUACGU